GAUCACGCCGCCAGAAGCGGACAUCGAGGAUUUCUUCGCUGCAGCGGAGAAGAAAGAGGCGCAGCGAUUCGCCCGCACGUACAACUAUGACGUCGUCAACGACGUGCCGUUGGAGGGACGCUACGAGUGGGUUCCAGUCUGAAAAAUAGAAAUCCCAAACCCUAGAAAAGAAGAGAGAACAAAGUAUAACAGAAGAUCUAAAUUUAUUACUGCUUUCUUUUCUUUUUUAGCUUUCUUGCCUUGAAAUUAAAAGGUAGGUGAAUUUAUUAUUGUACAGCAGAAAUGACCACCGCCUUCUUCCUCCCAAUGUGCUUUAACCUGUAGAAGGCUCUGAACGUACUGACUCCCCUUUUCCAAAGCUUCUCGCUUGGUCUCCAUCCUAAAUUUCUCAAUAAAAACUACGCUUCUUUUCCAA